AUAAUUCGCCAGUCAUAAUUUUUAGAAUUUUUACGGUUCAGACAUAAUUUAAACGAUCAUUCAGGCGUGAGUCUUUACUGAGCAUCUUCCGCUCUCUUAAAAUGUUCUCCAAAAUAUUAAUUGUAAUCACGAUGAUCGGAAUUUUCUGCAAUUCAUCAUCAGCACGAGUUCUGGGGUGCAAUGACGGCGAGAAUUACUGGUGUCAAUCAGAAUAUACUGCAGUGAUUUGCGGGAAAGAAGAAUAUUGCCGGGAUAAUGAAGCGAGUGAUAUGCUCGCACCAGAAGUCACAUAUAUCGGAAUAAAUCACCAAUAUUCCACCACUGAUCCGUUUUAUCGAUUAGGUGACAUGUUUGAUCGAUAAAUCAUGUAUAAAAGAAUGAUGGAAAUUUUUAUUUCUGUCAGACCUAGAAAAUAUUUGAAUGGCAUAUUUAUUGAAGAUAAUGAAAUGUGAAAAAUAAAAUUGUAUGAAAAAGAAAAGACAGAGAGUGCGAUAAAUUAUUUGGAAAUUAUUCAUGGGGCUGAUAGAUAAGUGGAGAUGAUUAAAAUGUUUAAGGGUGUUGAGACUUUUUGGAUUCUUUUAUAAUUGCUUAAUCGGGGAGUUAGAGUGAUAAUUAUUUUAAUUAGAUUAAUGGACGUCAGACCUUUCUUGAUAUAAUUAUGGUACAAUGGAGAAAUUUUCUGAUUGAGCACUCAUCGAUACAUUUACACCUGUGGCAAUAGUCCGAGCGACAUUUUUUAGGGGAUUUAUAGGUGAAAUCUGGAGUAAAAAUCCAUUUGGAAAUAAAUGUUCAUCAAAAAUCUUUCAGCUCCUCAGAAUGUUCUGUAAAGAAUUUAUUGUAAUUGCGAUUAUCGCAAUUAUUUGCAGUACAUCAUUGGGACGUCCUCUUAACUGCCACGAUGGCGAGAUCUACUGGUGUAAAUCAUUAAGAACUGCAAAGAAAUGUCGAAAAACGAGGUAUUGCGAGCGGAUGUCUAAUCCAGUGGAUGAUGUGCGAAUAGAACGAGCUCCUGCAACAACAGAAUUUAAUAGAUUUUACAUAGGCUCCCGUGGUAUCGAAAGCUUUCCAUUGGGUCUAUAGAUCACUUGAAUUCCAUUCCCUCAAUCUUCAAUGUUUCAUCAAUGUUUAUAAAACCUGAAGACAACAUAUAAGACAAAAUGAAAUAAAAACCUGUGAUGAAUUAUUUUGAGAUGAAGGAGUCCGUCUGAUUAUUAGAUCUCGGGGAUUUUACUUCACAUUAUUCUCUCAUUAUUCUCCCAAAAACGAUUACUCAAUUAUAAAAUUAAUACGAUUACAAUGGAGAAUGAGAGCUCGAUGG